rnacentral:rRNA from 1 species
AGUCACGCUGUAAACGAUGUCGAUUUGGAGGUUGUUCCCUUGAGGAGUGGCUUCCGGAGCUAACGCGUUAAGUCGACCGCCUGGGGAGUACGGCCGCAAGGUUAAAACUCAAAUGAAUUGACGGGGGCCCGCACAAGCGGUGGAGCAUGUGGUUUAAUUCGAUGCAACGCGAAGAACCUUACCUACUCUUGACAUCCAGAGAAUUUAGCAGAGAUGCUUUAGUGCCUUCGGGAACUCUGAGACAGGUGCUGCAUGGCUGUCGUCAGCUCGUGUUGUGAAAUGUUGGGUUAAGUCCCGCAACGAGCGCAACCCUUAUCCUUUGUUGCCAGCACAUUAUGGUGGGAACUCAAAGGAGACUGCCGGUGAUAAACCGGAGGAAGGUGGGGAUGACGUCAAGUCAUCAUGGCCCUUACGAGUAGGGCUACACACGUGCUACAAUGGCGUAUACAAAGAGAAGCGACCUCGCGAGAGCAAGCGGAACUCAUAAAGUACGUCGUAGUCCGGAUUGGAGUCUGCAACUCGACUCCAUGAAGUCGGAAUCGCUAGUAAUCGUAGAUCAGAAUGCUACGGUGAAUACGUUCCCGGGCCUUGUACACACCGCCCGUCACACCAUGGGAGUGGGUUGCAAAAGAAGUAGGUAGCUUAACCUUCGGGAGGGCGCUUACCACUUUGUGAUUCAUGACUGGGGUGAAGUCGUAACAAGGUAACCA